AUCUAAGUCUGAAUUUCUGAAUUCUUUUUUCUUGGUUGUCAGACUUGUGCAUUAUAGAGAGCAGAGUUUUCAUCCCUCCUUAGAGAAAAUAAGGCGUUUUUAUCCCCACGUGUAUAACAUGGAUGGUUUUUAUGUUGCUAAGUUAAAGAAGAUGAGUAAUACGAAACCAGCAGUAUCUGAGCCUUCUAAACAAGCAGAUAAGAUGGAACAAGCAGAAGUUAUUGAUGAUAGUAAGGAUGCUCAAAUGAACAACCCAAAUGGAGAAGUUGCAAGUAAAGGAAAAAAGCAGGGGAAAAAGGAAAACACCAAGGGUGCUGGAAAAAAAAGACGGGAAGUCGAUAGUUGAAGAAGGCAAGCAAUUCAGAACCAGCAAGAAGUGAAUCAUUGGCUCUACCGGAAAAGAGAAAAGCAACAGCAGCUCAUGAUGAUGGCGAUAUCGCCAAAAAUAUCCCCAACGAGAAAAUCAGCAAGCGUAAAUUCUGGAAAAGGGUAGGCGACCUAGGGAUAGUGAUAAUAAGAGCGUUGCAGGAAAUAAUGGAAGGGAAAUACCUUCAUCAACAGUCGGAUCAAAAAUGAAACGGAAGUUCCCUUCAAGAGAGGAGGGAAUUUUACAAGCUAGGAACUUGGAUUUGAUUAUCUUGAAAGCAAAGAGCAACUUGUCAUGAGGUUACAAGCAAAUUGAAAUAUUUAAACAGUUGUUCCCUUCUUUCUUUUCUUUCACCUUUUCCUCUCGGCAAAUUGUGUUUCUUUUUUCCUUUAUGGAUUACAAGCAAACUGGAAUAUUUAAACAUGCAUUUGAGUUGACUUGGAAAUGGAAAUGAAUGUAACUAAUUUGUAAUGGGAGAAAAUUCUUUGUUUAUCAUAA